CGGGCCAAAGUGACCCUGCUGGAGUCCGGGGCACCUCCAGCCCCGCGGGGGUCCCUGCGCCUCCUCUGCCGAGAGUCCGGGUUCAGUUUCGGGAAUUAUGGAAUGUAUUGGAUCCGCCAGAGACCCGGGCAGGGGCUGGAAUUCGUCGCAGGGAUUGACUACGAUGGAGAAACCGAGUACGCGUCAUCGUUCAAGGGCCGGGUCACGAUCUCCAGGGACAACGGGCAGAGCUCGGUGACGCUGACCAUGAACAGCCUCAAGGACGAGGAUUCCGGAUCCUAUUUCUGUGCCAAGGAUGCUUAUGCUGGUGCUGCUGCUGAUGCUGCCUAUCGUAUUGACCCCGUCCCCAUCCCCAUGGUGAACCGGCCAUUGACCGACGGCGCGUAG